rnacentral:rRNA from 1 species
UACGUAGGUGGCAAGCGUUGUCCGGAAUUAUUGGGCGUAAAGCGCGCGCAGGCGGUCCUUUAAGUCUGAUGUGAAAGCCCACGGCUCAACCGUGGAGGGUCAUUGGAAACUGGGGGACUUGAGUGCAGGAGAGAAGAGUGGAAUUCCACGUGUAGCGGUGAAAUGCGUAGAGAUGUGGAGGAACACCAGUGGCGAAGGCGGCUUCCUGGCCUGUUCUUGACGCUGAGGCGCGAAAGCUAGGGGAGCAAACGGG